AGCGAACAUUGGCGGUAGGCUUAACACAUGCAAGUCGAGCGAGGCGUAAUAGUCGAGCGGCGAACGGGUGAGUAAUACUUGGGAAUCUGCCCUGAAGUGGGGGAUAACGUCCAGAAAUGGACGCUAAUACCGCAUAAUCCAUAUCGGGAAAGCGCGCUGCGCUUUAGGAUGAGCCCAAGUCUGAUUAGCUAGUUGGCGGGUAAAGGCCCACCAAGGCGACGAUCAGUAGCUGGUCUGAGAGGAUGAUCAGCCACACUGGAACUGAGACACGGUCCAGACUCCUACGGGAGGCAGCAGUGGGGAAUCUUGCGCAAUGGGGGCAACCCUGACGCAGCCAUACCGCGUGUGUGAUGAAGGUCUUCGGAUUGUAAAGCACUUUCAGCGGGGACGACAAUGACGGUACCCGCAGAAGAAGUCACGGCUAACUUCGUGCCAGCAGCCGCGGUAAU
rnacentral:rRNA from 1 species